GACAGGCAAACUAACCACUGUUACAUUGCCAUCCUCAACAUUAUCCAAGGAGAAGUGGACCCUACUCAGGUCCAUAAACGUCUGCAAAGAAUACGAGAGCGAAAAUUGGCCAACUUCAUACCGUGGGGACCAGCCAGUAUUCAGGUGGCAUUGUCACGGAAGUCUCCAUACCUGCCAUCAGCUCACCGUGUCAGUGGGCUUAUGAUGGCCAAUCAUACCAGCAUCUCCUCAUUGUUUGAAAGAACCAGCAGACAGUAUGAUAAACU